rnacentral:rRNA from 1 species
GACGAACGCUGGCGGCGUGCCUAAUACAUGCAAGUAGAGCGCUGAAGAGAGGAGCUUGCUCUUCUUGGAUGAGUUGCGAACGGGUGAGUAACGCGUAGGUAACCUGCCUUGUAGCGGGGGAUAACUAUUGGAAACGAUAGCUAAUACCGCAUAACAAUGGAUGACACAUGUCAUUUAUUUGAAAGGGGCAAUUGCUCCACUACAAGAUGGACCUGCGUUGUAUUAGCUAGUAGGUGAGGUAAUGGCUCACCUAGGCGACGAUACAUAGCCGACCUGAGAGGGUGAUCGGCCACACUGGGACUGAGACACGGCCCAGACUCCUACGGGAGGCAGCAGUAGGGAAUCUUCGGCAAUGGGGGCAACCCUGACCGAGCAACGCCGCGGGAGUGAAGAAGGUUUUCGGAUCGUAAAGCUCUGUUGUAAGUCAAGAACGGGUGUGAGAGUGGAAAGUUCACACUGUGACGGUAGCUUACCAGAAAGGGACGGCUAACUACGUG